CGGGUGAGGAGCGCGUGGGAACCUAUCCUGGAGUGGGGGAUAACCGAGGGAAACUUCGGCUAAUACCGCAUGCGCCCCCGGGGCGGGGUUUCCUGCCGCGGGGGGAAAGAUUUAUCGCUCGAGGCGGGGCCCGCGUCGGAUUAGGUGGUUGGUGGGGUAACGGCCUACCAAGCCGAUGAUCCGUAGCUGGUCUGAGAGGAUGAUCAGCCACACUGGGACUGAGACACGGCCCAGACUCCUACGGGAGGCAGCAGUGGGGAAUAUUGGACAAUGGGCGCAAGCCUGAUCCAGCAAUGCCGCGUGAGUGAUGAAGGCCUUCGGGUUGUAAAGCUCUUUCGGCGGGGACGAUGGUGACGGUACCCGCAGAAGAAGCCCCGGCCAACUUCGUG
rnacentral:rRNA from 1 species